AAACCAGCACCUCAAGUGGUCAGGAGGAUUAUUGGGCCUAAAGCAUCCGUAGCCUGUUCUGUAAGUUUUCGGUUAAAUCCAUUAGCUCAACUAAUGGGCCGCCGAAAAUACUGCAGAACUAGGGAGUGGGAGAGGUAGACGGUACUCGGUAGGAAGGGGUAAAAUCCUUUGAUCUAUUGAUGACCACCUGUGGCGAAGGCGGUCUACCAGAACACGUUCGACGGUGAGGGAUGAAAGCUGGGGGAGCAAACCGGAUUAGAAACCCGAGUAGUCC
rnacentral:rRNA from 1 species